UAGGGAAUCUUCCACAAUGGACGCAAGUCUGAUGGAGCAACGCCGCGUGAGUGAAGAAGGUCUUCGAAUCGUAAAACUCUGUUGUAAGAGAAGAACACGUAUGAGAGUAACUGUUCAUACGUUGACGGUAUUUAACCAGAAAGUCACGGCUAACUACGUGCCAA
rnacentral:rRNA from 1 species